UACCCAGCAACUCCUAUCCCUACCUCCUCGGGGUACUGGCCGGAGUACGAGUAACCUUGGGGAAGAUCGGGUAACCAACCCCGGUGGGAGCUUUGGUCGUAUGCUGACAGGGAAGU
rfam:Aedes aegypti strain Liverpool supercont1.720 genomic scaffold, whole genome shotgun sequence.